GCUUGUCUCAAAGAUUAAGCCAUGCAUGUCUAAGUAUAAACAAAUUUAUAGUGAAACUGCGAAUGGCUCAUUAUAUCAGUUAUAGUUUAUUUGGCGAUAAAAACUACUUGGAUAACCGUAGUAAUUCUAGAGCUAAUACAUGCAUCAUCCCCCAUCUCGGGGUGUAUUUAUUAGAUGGAAACCAAUGCGGGGCAACCCGGAAUAUGGUGAUUCAUAAUAACUUUCGGAUCGAUUUAUCGAUGCAUCAUUCAAGUUUCUGCCCUAUCAGCUUUGGAUGGUAGGGUAUUGGCCUACCAUGGCUUUAACGGGUAACGGAGAAUUAGGGUUCGAUUCCGGAGAGGGAGCCUGAGAAAUGGCUACCACAUCCAAGGAAGGC
rnacentral:rRNA from 1 species